rnacentral:rRNA from 1 species
UACGUAGGGGGGCUAGCGUUGUCCGGAAUCAUUGGGCGUAAAGCGCGUGUAGGCGGUCCGGUAAGUCCGCUGUGAAAGUCGAGGGCUCAACCCUCGAAUGCCGGUGGAUACUGUCGGGCUUGAGUACGGGAGAGGCGAGUGGAAUUCCUGGUGUAGCGGUGAAAUGCGCAGAUAUCAGGAGGAACACCAAUGGCGAAGGCAGCUCGCUGGGACGGUACUGACGCUGAGACGCGAAAGCGUGGGGAGCAAACAGG